UUUAUUUUUAUUUUCACUUUAGCAAUCCUUCCUAUGAAGUCAUUUUUUUGGUUAUUUUCUUCAUAAAUACAAAACUUAGGACCAAACUACCCUUCCGUCCCAGGUCACUUUUCACAAAGAUCGAAAUCGUAAGCCCUAGAAGAAGAUAGAGAGAGGGUGAUGGGGAUAUUCAAGGGCAGUUUCUCAUUCAUGGUAGGAACCGCAUGUGGAAUUUACAUAGCUCAGAAUUACAACGUCCCCAAUAUAAAGAAACUCGCGAACACUGCUAUUUUCAUGGCCAGGCACCUCGAAGAGAAGUAUCGCAAGCCUAAGAAGAGAGAUGACGAGUAAUAGAAUAAACCACAUCGUUGCAGUCCAGGUGCACGCCUAGUGAAGUGCCUUGUGCCAAGAUGUGGAGGGCAACUCCUCUUUGCCUUUUUUGGAUAAUUUGACAAGAAUGAAAUCGAAGAUCUCUUGAUAGAAUUCAAUGUUUAGAUCAAGCUCUAAAGAAUUCCCUUAUCUGUACCUUUUUCCAAUGGACUCACCAAUAUAUUCAAGUGGCCCUGUUAUAUUUUAUUGAUUGGUUGAGUGCUAGAUAGGAUGAGAGAGUGUCAUUCAAUGCAUGUUUACAGUUGAGUGCUAGAUUGGUUGAGUUCAAUUUAUACUUUCAUUGAGUAAGAUACAUCCUUUAAGUGUU